UACCAGCACUUACGGGGCGCAGCAGGCGCUAAACCUCCGCAAUGCACGCAAGUGCGACGGGGGGACCCCAAGUGCCACUCUUAACGGGGUGGCUUUUCAGGAGUGUGAAAAGCUCCUGGAAUAAGGGCUGGGCAAGACCGGUGCCAGCCGCCGCGGUAACACCGGCAGCUCGAGUGGUAGCCGCGUUUAUUGGGCCUAAAGCGUCCGUAGCCGGUCCGAUAAGUCUCUGGUGAAAGCCCACAGCUCAACUGUGGGAAUCGCUGGAGAUACCAUCGGACUUGAGGCCGGGAGAGGCUGGAGGUACUCCCAGGGUAGGGGUGAAAUCCUAUAAUCCUGGGAGGACCACCUGUGGCGAAGGCGUCCAGCUGGAACGGACCUGACGGUGAGGGACGAAAGCCAGGGGCGCGAACCGGAUUAGAUACCCGGGUAGUCCUGGCCGUAAACGAUGCGGACUUGGUGUUGGGACGGCUUUGAGCUGUCCCAGUGCCGAAGGGAAGCUGUUAAGUCCGCCGCCUGGGAAGUACGGCCGCAAGGCUGAAACUUAAAGGAAUUGGCGGGGGAGCACCACAACGCGUGGAGCCUGCGGUU
rnacentral:rRNA from 1 species